GAUGAACGCUGGCGGCGUGCCUAAUACAUGCAAGUCGAGCGAACAGACGAGGAGCUUGCUCCUCUGACGUUAGCGGCGGAUGGGUGAGUAACACGUGGAUAACCUACCUAUAAGACUGGGAUAACUUCGGGAAACCGGAGCUAAUACCGGAUAAUAUAUUGAACCGCAAGGUUCAAUAGUGAAAGACGGUUUUGCUGUCACUUAUAGAUGGAUCCGCGCCGCAUUAGCUAGUUGGUAAGGUAACGGCUUACCAAGGCAACGAUGCGUAGCCGACCUGAGAGGGUGAUCGGCCACACUGGGACUGAAACACGAUCCAGACUCCUACAGGAGGCACCAGUAGGGAAACUUCCGCAAUGGGCGAAAACUUGACGGAGCAACGCAGCGUGAGUGAUAGAGAUCUUCGGAUCGUAAGACUCUGUUAUUAGGGAAAAACAAAUAUGUAAGUAACUAUGCACAUCUUGACGGUACCUAAUCAGAAAGCCACGGCUAACUACGUG
rnacentral:rRNA from 1 species